rnacentral:rRNA from 1 species
CCUACGGGCGGCAGCAGUGGGGAAUAUUGGGCAAUGGGCGCAAGCCUGACCCAGCAACGCCGCGUGAAGGAAGAAGGCUUUCGGGUUGUAAACCUCUUUUCUGAGGGACGAAGAAAGUGACGGUACCUCAGGAAUAAGCCACGGCUAACUACGUGCCAGCAGCCGCGGUGAUACGUAGGUGGCAAGCGUUAUCCGGAUUUAGUGGGUGUAAAGGGCGUGUAGGCGGGAAAGCAAGUCAGCUGUGAAAACGCAGGGCUCAACCCUGAGCCUGCGGUUGAAACUGUUUUUCUUGAGUGCUGGAGAGGCAAUCGGAAUUCGGUGUGUAGCGGUGAAAUGCGUAGAUAUACGGAGGAACACCAGUGGCGAAGGCGGAUUGCUGGACAGUAACUGACGCUGAGGCGCGAAGGCGUGGGGAGCAAACAGGAUUAGAUACCCUUGUAGUC